AUGGAGCCAUACGCUGCCGGCUCCACCUCCCGACGCUCCGGCUCUCCCGACUGGGUCUUACUCCACAGGUCGGCGCGUUUCUCCGACCUCCAGAACUCAACCACCGUCAAGUCCAAGACGAGGGAUGGCCAGGCCGUCGAGGUGUCCUUCUGGCUCGUCCAUCCGCCGGGUGUCUCCUACUUCUCCGUCCACUGCCCCUGCCUGAAUGAGGAUGACUUCGCCAGCGAGCCCUGCGUCAUCUGCGCGGAGGCGGCCCUCGUUCUCUUCCGCGUAACCCUCAACAUCCCUGGUAAUUGGACGUCCACCCACCACUUUGUCUACAGAGCCGGCCCCGGGGAGCCAGCACUGCACCUGCUUCCGGACCCCAAUCCCAACUUUGCAGUGUCUUCAGCUGCAGCCCUGGAAUUUGGUCUCUUGCCGUUCCACGACGAGCACUAUGCCGUGGUAUUCCUAAAUCGGCACUUUACCAAAUAUGGGACUUGGCAUUUUGUUGUCGACCUCUUCUCGUCCAAGGAUCAGGCGUGGAGCACUAAGCUGGCCUUUCUGGGGUUAUUAUCGGAUUCUGUGUUAGAGCUUUUGGCCUCCCACGUGUCCUGCAAGCAGAUCGUGGUUGGGAGCAGCUCACUGGGUUGGGUUGAUCUUUUGCGUGGUAUUCUUCUUCUUCGCAACCCGUCCGAUAAAUAUCCUAUGAUCGAAUACAUCUCAUUUCCUGUGUCAAGGCCUUGCAUCACAGUCAAUGAAGGAUACACUGCCCAACGUUUUCGCGAUGUUGCCUGCUGCCAUAAUUUGAUCAAGUUUGUCGACAUCGAAUUUCAUGACCGUGGGUGCAGCAGAGAUAAAGGUUGGAAAGCCUCCACAUGGAACAUGAACAUUUUCUGGAACGAAUGGCGCCCACGCCUCACAGUUGAAGUUGCUGAUAUCUUGGUUCACCCAAGUUAUGAUGCUUUAUUGCCUGAGCUGCGGGACCACGAGACACAAAAAGUGGAUCUGAGGAAACUGAUUACACAUACCCCCACCCUGAGCAUGUAUGAAGAUGAUUUUCUCUACAUUACGUGCAAAGUGAAUGAUGAAGACCACAAGGCCUGGGUCAUCGCAGUGGACAUGAAGCUUGAGGCUGUGGUAGCAGUGGCCCCGUUUCCUGCUAAACAAGGCAACCUCAUGCCAGUGUACUAUCCAUGCGCGUUUCCCAAGCACCUCAACAUAACCCCUGGGCUUGAUGUGGCCAAUCCAGUGCGCAAGUAUUUCAAGGGGAUGGAUGCAGCGAAAUGUGCUCUGGAAAUUCUGUGGACUCAAGACUGGCUCAGGGAACUUGAUGAAUGGUUGGAAUUUGAGGGGUCAUGUUACACCGAUUGCAUAUUACUAGACUGUUGCCCAGUAUCAUCUCUACGUUUCAAUAUUCAAUCAGUAGUAGAAUAUGCUUCUUGUAAUGGUCGAGGCAAAGCUGCCUCCGAAGCUGUGAAUGUUUGCUUACGUGUCUUGCAAAUUGCGCCACAUACAAUGAUGGCGAGAAGAAGGAAGCUUCCAGAUGCCUGCCACCAAAGAAAAGGAAAACAAACAAUUGAACAUUGUGAGAAGCCAGGCGAUAACAGUGACUACAGACAUGGCUUUCCUGAUGAUGACCUGCUUGUGUCGACCUCAACAUCCAGAUCCAUGCCGCUCUCUACUGUAUCGUUCAGUCCCAUCAACCUGAUGGAGCCGUAUGCUGCCGGCUCCACCGCCCAACGCUCUGGCUCUCCAAACUGGGUCUUACUCCACUGGUCAGCAUGUAUUUCUGACCUCCAGAACAAAACCACUGUCAAGUCCAAGACGAGGGAUGGCCAGGCUAUUGAGGUGUCCUUCUGGCUCGUCGAGCCGCCGGGUGUCUCCUACUUCUCUGUCCACUGCCCAGGCCUGAAAGAGGAUGACUUUGUGGAAGAACCCUACGUCAUCUGUGCGGAGGCCGCCCUUGUUCUCUUCUGCGUGACCUUCAACAUCCCAGGCGAUUUGACGUCCACCCACCAUUUCGUCUACAGAGCAGGCCCCGGGGAGCCAGCACUGCACCUGCUCCCGGACCACAAUGCUCCAGCAUACGAAGCCCAGCAAUUUGGCCUCUUACCCUGCGGCGGCACUAACAACGAGCACUAUGCUGUGGUCUUCCUACGUUGGAACAAGACUAUUGGGGAUCAUAUGUUUGAUGUCCAUGUCUUCUCGUCCCAGACACAGGCAUGGAGUAGCAAGGUGGCAUUGCUGUCUUUAUCAGAGUCUGAGAACAAAUUUUUUUGUAGGCAUGAUACCUGCAAGCAGAUCACGAUUGGGAGCUCACUGGGCUGGGUUGAUCUCUUGCGUGGUAUUCUUGUAGUUCACAAAGUGUUUGAUGAAUAUCCUGUGAUCAAAUACAUCCCAUUUCCUGAGUCAAGGCCUUUCUCCCGAGACAAGGAAGAAUCUGACGCUCCUCAAUAUUUUCGAGAUGUGGCCUGCUGCAAUAAUAUGAUCAAGUUUGUCCACAUAGAAUCUCAUGACCCUUGCUGCACUGGAAAUAAAGAUUGGAAAGCCACCACAUGGAAUAGGAAGCUUUCUUGGGGAUAUUGGCGUCAGCGAUUCACAGUUAAAGUUGAUGAUAUCUCCGUCGACCAAAGUUAUUCUGCUUUAUUGCCUGAGCUGUGGGACAGCGAAACAGGAAAGUUAGAUCUGAAGAAACUAAAUUUCUACACCCCCACCCUCAGCAUGUGCGAUGAUGAUUUUCUUUACGUCAUGUCCAAGGUGAAUGAUGAAGACGACAAGGCCUGGGUCAUCACAGUUGAUAUGAAACAUGAGGUUGUGCAAGCAGUGGCCCCAUUUUCUGCUGGAGACAUGGACUUCCUCCCAAUGUACUGUCCAUGCUCUUUCCCCAAGUACCUCAACAUGACCCCAGGGGCAGAGAUAACCAAUCUAGUGCACAAGUACUUUAAGAGGAUGGAGGCGGAGAAAUGUACUGUGGAACUGCUGUGGACUCAAGAUUGGCUCAUGGAACUUGAUCAAUGCUUGGAACUUGAAAGGUCAAUUUACAUGGAUCACAGAUCACUACAAUGGUGUCCAGUGUCGUCUCUACAUUUCAAUAUUCGAGCAGUGGUAGAAUAUGCUUCCUCUAUUGGUCAAGGCAAAGCUGCCUCCAGAGCUGUGGAUGUUUGCUUACGAGCUUUGGAAGAUCUCAACUGCCUACUGCGUAAGCUGCCGAGUGAUGCUUUACUAUCUCCUGAAGCCAUGAGGAACAACAUCACUAACGCCCUUGAAGCUUUAGAGAAUGUUUUGCAAAUUGCGCCACCUCCAAUGAUGGCGGGAGGAACAAUGAUGGAUGAAGCAAUGACGCCUGCAAAUGCCCCAAAGAGACCAAAACCAAUAUUUGAACGUGGCAAGAAGCCAGGCCAUAAAACUGAGCACAUGCAGCCUGGCGGCAAGUUAUCCUAUGGUCGUGGCAAGAAGGCAGGCCACAAAAUUGAGCCCAUGCAGCCUGGCUUUUCCGAUGGCAAGCUAUCCCGUGGUCGCGGCAAGAAGGCAGGCCACAAAAUUGAGCCCAUGCAGCCUGGCUUUUCCGAUGGCAAGCUAUCCCAUGGUCGCGGCAAGAAGGCAGGCCAUGAGAAGGACAAAUGUGAUGAUGACCAGCAUCAAGCGGAACUUGACCGGCAACUGGAACUCAACCUCCAUGGCUCUUGGGGUCCCUGGUUGAGUUCUUUGCCCCAAGAUGUUUGGUUCAUUUUGGCGAUUGCUUUCAGUGCACUAGUACGUGCAUGCUUGCGAUAUCUAAAUUCGUAA
rnacentral:rRNA from 1 species